rnacentral:snoRNA from 1 species
UUAUGGGUGUGCAUUUUACAGCGCUUUUUUGAGAAAGCGCUGUAAUAUGAGACCCAUAAUAUGAAAUUAUGGGUGGGCAUUUUACAGCGCUUUUCUGAGAAAGCGCUGUAAUAUGCACACCCAUAUAUGA